rnacentral:rRNA from 1 species
CAUACGACCGUACCGCAAACCGACACUGGUGCGCGAGAUGAGUAUUCUAAGGCGCUUGAGAGAACUCAGGAGAAGGAACUCGGCAAAUUGACACCGUAACUUCGGAAGAAGGUGUGCCCUAUUAGUGUGUAGUCAACAACGAAGCAUGAAUGGGUUGCAAAAAAUCGGUGGCUGCGACUGUUUAUUAAAAACACAGCACUCUGCAAACACGAAAGUGGACGUAUAGGGUGUGACGCCUGCCCGGUGCUGGAAGAUUAAAUGAUGGGGUGCAAGCUCUUGAUUGAAGUCCCAGUAAACGGCGGCCGUAACUAUAACGGUCCUAAGGUAGCGAAAUUCCUUGUCGGGUAAGUUCCGACCUGCACGAAUGGCGUAACGAUGGCCACACUGUCUCCUCCUGAGACUCAGCGAAGUUGAAAUGUUUGUGAUGAUGCAAUCUCCCCGCGGAAAGACGGAAAGACCCCAUGAACCUUUACUGUAGCUUUGUAUUGGACUUUGAACAGAUCUGUGUAGGAUAGGUGGGAGGCUUUGAAGCAGGGUCGCUAGAUCUUGUGGAGCCAACGUUGAAAUACCACCCUGGUGUGUUUGAGGUUCUAACCUAGGUCCAUUAUCUGGAUCGGGGACAGUGCAUGGUAGGCAGUUUGACUGGGGCGGUCUCCUCCCAAAGCGUAACGGAGGAGUUCGAAGGUACGCUAGUUACGGUCGGACAUCGUGACGAUAGUGCAAUGGCAUAAGCGUGCUUAACUGCGAGACUGACAAGUCGAGCAGAUGCGAAAGCAGGACAUAGUGAUCCGGUGGUUCUGUAUGGAAGGGCCAUCGCUCAACGGAUAAAAGGUACUCUGGGGAUAACAGGCUGAUACCGCCCAAGAGUUCAUAUCGACGGCGGUGUUUGGCACCUCGAUGUCGGCUCAUCUCAUCCUGGGGCUGUAGCCGGUCCCAAGGGUAUGGCUGUUCGCCAUUUAAAGAGGUACGUGAGCUGGGUUUAAAACGUCGUGAGACAGUUUGGUCCCUAUCUUCCGUGGGCGCUGCAGAUUUGAGGAAGCCUGCUCCUAGUACGAGAGGACCGGAGUGGACACACCUCUGGUGUAUCGGUUGUCACGCCAGUGGCAUUGCCGAGUAGCUAAGUGUGGAAGAGAUAACCGCUGAAAGCAUCUAAGCGGGAAACUCGUUUCAAGAUGAGAUCUGCCGGGGCCUUGAGCCCCCUAAAGAGUCGUUCAAGACCAGGACGUUGAUAGGUCAGGUGUGGAAGCCAAAGA